GUAGGUGGCAAGCGUUGUCCGGAAUUAUUGGGCGUAAAGCGCGCGCAGGCGGUUCUUUAAGUCUGAUGUGAAAGCCCACGGCUCAACCGUGGAGGGUCAUAGGAAACUGGAGAACUUGAGUACAGAAGAGGAAAGCGGAAUUCCACGUGUAGCGGUGAAAUGCGUAGAGAUGUGGAGGAACACCAGUGGCGAAGGCGGCUUUCUGGUCUGUAACUGACGCUGAGGCGCGAAAGCGUGGGGAGCAAACAGGAUUAGAUACCCUGGUAGUCCACGCCGUAAACGAUGAGUGCUAAGUGUUAGGGGGUUUCCGCCCCCCUUAGUGCUGCAGCUAACGCAUUAAGCACUCCGCCUGGGAGUACGGCCGCAAGGCUG
rnacentral:rRNA from 1 species